ACGGUGAGGGAUGAAAGCUGGGGGAGCAAACCGGAUUAGAUACCCGGGUAGUCCCAGCUGUAAACGAUGCAGACUCGGUGAUGGGUUGGCUUUGCGCCAACCCAGUGCCGCAGGAAGCCGUUAAGUCUGCCGCCUGGGGAGUACGGUCGCAAGACCGAACRMAAGGAASRGACGGGGACCACACAAGGCAGAACCCGGCGGUUCAUUGAAUCCCAACGCCAGGGAAA
rnacentral:rRNA from 1 species